GUGCGCCCUUCGGCAGCACAUAUACUAAAAUUGGAACGAUACAGAGUAGAUUAGCAUGGCCCCUGUGCAAGGAUGACAGGUAAAUUUGUGAAGCGUUCCAUAUUAAA
rnacentral:snRNA from 1 species